AGAGUUUGAUCCUGGCUCAGGAUGAACGCUAGCGGGAGGCUUAACACAUGCAAGUCGUGGGGCAGCAUUUGGUAGCAAUACUAAGAUGGCGACCGGCGCACGGGUGAGUAACGCGUAUGCAACCUACCCUGUACAGGGGGAUAGCCCGGAGAAAUUCGGAUUAAUACCCCAUAAUGAUAUUGAUUGGCAUCGAUUGAUAUUUAAAGUUUCGGCGGUACGGGAUGGGCAUGCGUAACAUUAGCUGGUUGGUAGGGUAACGGCCUACCAAGGCAACGAUGUUUAGGGGUCCUGAGAGGGUGAUCCCCCACACUGGUACUGAGACACGGACCAGACUCCUACGGGAGGCAGCAGUGAGGAAUAUUGGUCAAUGGGCGCAAGCCUGAACCAGCCAUCCCGCGUGGAGGAAGAAGGCGCUAUGCGUCGUAAACUUCUUUUCCAGAGGAAUAAAAUUUUGUACGAGUACGGAACUGAAGGUACUCUGGGAAUAAGCAUCGGCUAACUCCGUGCCAGCAGCCGCGGUAAUACGGAGGAUGCGAGCGUCAUCCGGAUUUAUUGGGUUUAAAGGGUGCGUAGGCGGAUUAAUAAGUCAGUGGUGAAAACCUUCAGCUUAACUGGAGACUUGCCAUUGAUACUGUUAGUCUUGAGUAUGGUUAAGGUAGGCGGAAUGUGUAAUGUAGCGGUGAAAUGCUUAGAUAUUACACAGAACACCGAUUGCGAAGGCAGCUUACUGA
rnacentral:rRNA from 1 species